GUUCUGGAGCCUAGAAGUCCAAGAUCACGGUGCAGAAAGGACUCUGUUCUGUUCCCUUGGUCUACUUGUCUAACUUGACUCCAGUACCACAGUGUCUUGCUGCAGCUUUAUACACUUUGAAAUCAGGUGUAUGGUAAACUAAACAAUCCAAAAACCAUGUAGCUCCACAAUAAUCAGAAAUUCUGGAUCCAGUAAAACAAGUCUCCUUUGAGACACGGCUGAAUGCUGGAAGAAAGUUCAAAAAGUUCCUGGAGUCAAAAAUGAAGUGAGAAGGAAAAAUGAGCAUUUCCUCCUAAGCCAUACUGGUCUGCACUGUUCUUCAUAUAUCAGGUUCAAGCUAAUGGAUCCAAGCCAAAGGACUCCAUAUUCUCCAAAGCCUAUAAGCAGAAUGCUGGUGUGGUGUGGGGAGGAAGAAGUUCCAUUGUGUCCCCACUGAGGGGACACAGAAGUCCCAAAAGGGUCACUGAACUGCCAGGUACCAAGAGAUACCAGGUACUAUGAGGCUGCCAAAGGCAGAGACGGGCCAAGCCAUCCACUUCAGCUGAGGUUGAGACAUGGCAUCCCUAAAUGCCAAACAGGACAUUGCAGGGAAUAAGGAUCAGAAAAUCAGGUGUAAAACAGGAAGUCUUCCUAGAACCCACAUGUGCUUAUCCAAGACACCGUUAUUCUCAGGCCACAGUGUUUUCUAUUCCCUUGCUCCAAACACCCAGAUACCAUUUUGGUGAGGAACAGGAGAAAGGAAAGGGAAUUGAAUGUGAAAGGACUGUUUGAAUCAGAAGAGACUGACAUAUUGAUAUUUGUCCAGUUUCAUUGUUUCUACCCGACACCCAGUAAGAAAGAGUCCUAAGAGGAACAUUAGUUCACGAGACUAACUGGCUGUUCAUUAAACUCACAGCUGGACUACAUUUUCCAGCCUUCCUUGCAGUUAGGUGUAACCAUGUGCAUGGAUUCUGACCAAUAAAAUGUGAGUAGAAGUGGUAGAUCCCAUUUCCUGACCUGAUACACACAGACCUCCCAUGCAUUAUCCUUUAUGUUCUUUUCUUUUCCACAGUGAUCUUGGAAACCGUGUAUUGAAGAUGGUGAAGCCACAGAUGGAAGGCACCUGGAUCCAGUUUUAAAAGAGCUGCCUGCCAAUCAGGAACACCCUUUUUGAACUUUGAGGAUGUGUUUUAAUUCUCAUAUUCCUGCAUAACAAACGACUCCAAAUUUAGUGGAUUAAAACAACAAUUUAUUAUAAUCCCUAUAAAUUCUGUGAAUUGACUGGGUUUAGCAGGGUGGAUCUCACUUGGGGUGACUCAUAUGACUGCAGUCAGAUGUGGGCAUUUUUCUUUUAAUUUUUAUUCACUGCCUAGAUCCUUUACUGGCCCCUGGGAAAUACAUUAUUAAAAAUUCAUAUUUUCGGCCGGGCGCAGUGG